rnacentral:rRNA from 1 species
AGAUUAAACGCUGGCGGCAUGCCUUACACAUGCAAGUCGAACGGCAGCACGGGAGCAAUCCUGGUGGCGAGUGGCGAACGGGUGAGUAAUAUAUCGGAACGUGCCCAGUCGUGGGGGAUAACGUAGAGAAAUUUACGCUAAUACCGCAUACGAUCCAAGGAUGAAAGCGGGGGACCUAAGGCCUCGCGCGACUGGAGCGGCUGAUAUCAGAUUAGCUUGUGGUGAGUAAAGCUACACCAAGGCGACGAUCUGUAGCUGGUUUGAGAGACCGACACGCCACACGUGGGACUGGACGACACGGACCCAGACUCCGUACGGGAGCAGCAGGUGGGAACUUUGGACAAGUGGGACGAAAGCCUAGACU